AUGAAUGCUGGCGGCGUGGAUGAGGCAUGCAAGUCGAAUGGGUUUAGGCCCAUGGCAGACGAGGUAGUAACACGUAGGUACAUACCCCAAAGUCAGGAAUAACCGGCCGAAAGGUCGGAUAAUACUUGAUAUCUCGCGAGAGGAAAGAUUUAUCGCUUUGGGAAUGGCCUGCGACGUAUCAGCUAGUUGGUAAGGUAAUGGCUUACCAAGGCUACGACGCGUAGGGGAGCUGAGAGGCUGACCCCCACCGAUGGAACUGCGACACGGUCCAUACUCCUACGGGAGGCUGCAGUCGAGAAUCUUCCGCAAUGGACGAAAGUCUGACGGAGCGACGCCGCGUGGUUGAUGAAGUCCUUAGGGACGUAAAAACCUUUUAUGAGGGAGGAAAUUUUGACGUUACCUCAUGAAUAAGGGGCUCCUAACUCUGU
rnacentral:rRNA from 1 species